GUUAAAUGUGCCCCCCUACUUUUGUCACUGGCCCUCCAUGUGCCCCCCCGAAAAAUGAAUCCUAGAGAUGCCACUGCCUGCAGACUAGCGGAUCCUGGCCAAUGAGCAAACCUCUAAGUGGUACAUGGGCCGCCGAGAUAGCUGAUCUCGCCACAUUAACCGAACGAUAGGAUCAUCCCAGGUCAAACAGGUGAGAAAGAAAAUUCAGCACGCUGGUUACAUGGCCCGUAAAGGGAUUGGUAUCCUGUUCCAGACACCGUCACCAGGAACCCCAUGCUGAUCAAUAGCAUCUUCUAGUCCCAGGGGCCCAGGAGUCCCAGAGGAGGUCCUUAGCCGACUGCAAUAACGCCUCGACAUUCCAGGUUCCCCUGAAAGAGUCCAGGCCACCAAGCGCAGGUGGCCGUCCCUCAUGAGGGGAUGAGGGUUGCCCCGGGAGCUGGAGCGGUGCAUCGGUGGGGACAGCAGGAGUAGUGGAUCCCGAUGGGAGAGAUACAGAAGCUCUGGAAACCAGGCUUGACUCUGCCAUUGUGGAAUCAGCAACACCAAAGACACACACUGACGUCGAACUUGCAGCAAUACAGCAAACAGAGGAAAUGCAUAAGCUCCCCGUGAAGGCCACGCUCGAAGAAAAGCAUCCAUCGCUGAGCAUGCUGGAUCAGGGAGCCAGCUGAAGGUCAGGACCUGAUAGUUGAUCUGGGAGGCGAAAAUGUCCACUGUGAACAGGCCCCUGUGGUUUGCGAGCUCGAGGAAGAUGGGCCGAAGGAGUUUCCAAUCGCUGGCGUCCCUCCAUUGUCUGGAGGGUGAUUUCGCGUUGGAAGCAGAAGCUAUAGAUCUCCUUCAUCACCUCCAAGAGUGUGUGGGGCAAUGUGUGUGUAUGGGGGGCAGUGUGUGG